AGCAUCCAUUCUUUUGUAUCUUGUCUUAUAUGACAGGAAAACACACCAAUAUAUCUUUUCUCCUCAGUUCAUCACAGGUUUUGACAACAGGAGUGUGAGCAAUGACAAAAAGGCCCGGAGAUUAAAAAGAUGCCUCUGCUGCUCCACAACAUGUCUCAGAAUCUCCUUUCUUGAAAUCACAGAGCUUGUAGUCUGGUCUAGUCUAAGACAAGAAAAUAAUCAACUAUAAUAGAAUUGUAUAAGCACCAUAGUAACACAAGAAGAAGAUGCUUUUGGAACGUGUAGAGGAGAUAUCUACGUACAUUAUGUGGGAGUGAAGAAAUCUGUGCUGAUGGAACAUACACCUGAGGGGCUCUCAGCUGACUGAAAAGGAAAGGAUGGCUUAGUAUGUGGAUAAGCCAAAAAACAACUGUUCCAAAACAUCCCCACACAAGGAUAGGUUUGAAAGACAGCAAUUUGGAAAGAUCACUGAUAUGGGCAAAGUUUUACACAGAGUGGAAAGAGAAGUGGCCAAUGACACGCAGCAUAAUAACAUGAAAUGCGCUGAAGAAUAUUUUUGGUGCGACAUAUGAGUGAGGAGAAAUGAACAUGGUGCAGAGAUAAAAACGAAGCAAUGGGAUUUCUUGAAGAUUUUGGAAGUCAUGGCAAAUACAUGAGGAGAAUAAAUGUAAGAUAAAUGGCUUGUCAAAGAGGGAUUAAAUAAAAAUAGUAACACUGAAUAGUAAUUUUAAAAAUGUUAAUUUCCAUUUUUUUUGAAUAGGGAAAACACCUGAUUCAAAAUUUAACAGACACAAAAGUAUAUACAUAUGUAAUUCUCCCUUUAAGUCCCUCCAUUGCUCUGUGCAGGGGCAGCUGCUGUCACUUUUUAC
rnacentral:lncRNA from 1 species